rnacentral:rRNA from 1 species
GACGAACGCUGGCGGCGUGCCUAAUACAUGCAAGUCGAGCGAGCAAUUUUGACGGAAUACUUCGGUAGGAAGUCAGAAGCGCGAGCGGCGGAUGGGUGAGUAACACGUGGGCAACCUGCCCUUUAGCUUGGGAUACCACUUGGAAACAGGUGCUAAUACCAAAUAAGCAGCACGAGCGCAUGCUCGAGCUGAGAAAGGCGGCUUUCGAGCUGUCACUAAAGGAUGGGCCCGCGGUGCAUUAGCUAGUUGGUAAGGUAACGGCUUACCAAGGCGAUGAUGCAUAGCCGAGUUGAGAGACUGACCGGCCACAUUGGGACUGAGACACGGCCCAAACUCCUACGGGAGGCAGCAGUAGGGAAUCUUCCACAAUGGACGCAAGUCUGAUGGAGCAACGCCGCGUGAGUGAAGAAGGUUUUCGGAUCGUAAAGCUCUGUUGUUGGUGAAGAAGGACAAGGGUAGUAACUGAUUCUUGUUUGACGGUAAUCAACCAGAAAGUCACGGCUAACUACGUGCCAGCAGCCGCGGUAAUACGUAGGUGGCAAGCGUUGUCCGGAUUUAUUGGGCGUAAAGCGAACGCAGGCGGGAGAAUAAGUCAGCUGUGAAAGCCCCCAGCUUAACUGGGGAAGUGCAACUGAAACUAUUUUUCUUGAGUGCAGAAGAGGAGAGUGGAACUCCAUGUGUAGCGGUGGAAUGCGUAGAUAUAUGGAAGAACACCAGUGGCGAAGGCGGCUCUCUGGUCUGUAACUGACGCUGAGGUUCGAAAGCAUGGGUAGCGAACAGGAUUAGAUACCCUGGUAGUCCAUGCCGUAAACGAUGAGUGCUAAGUGUUGGGAGGUUUCCGCCUCUCAGUGCUGCAGCUAACGCAUUAAGCACUCCGCCUGGGGAGUACGACCGCAAGGUUAAAACUCAAAGGAAUUGACGGGGGCCCGCACA